UACAGAGGUCUCAAGCGUUGUUCGGAUUCAUUGGGCGUAAAGGGUGCGUAGGCGGCGCGGUAAGUCGGGGUGUGAAAUCUCGGAGCUUAACCCCGAAACUGCACUUGAUACUGCCUUGCUCGAGUACUGGAGAGGAGAUUGGAAUUUACGGUGUAGCAGUGAAAUGCGUAGAUAUCGUAAGGAAGACCAGUGGCGAAGGCGAAUCUCUGGACAGUUACUGACACUGAGGCACGAAGGCCAGGGGAGCAAACGGG
rnacentral:rRNA from 1 species